AUACGGAGGGGGCUAGCGUUGUUCGGAAUUACUGGGCGUAAAGCGCGCGUAGGCGGGUUGGCAAGUUGAAGGUGAAAUCCCAGGGCUCAACCCUGGAACUGCCUCCAAAACUGCCAGUCUUGAGUUCGGAAGAGGUGAGUGGAAUUCCUAGUGUAGAGGUGAAAUUCGUAGAUAUUAGGAAGAACACCAGUGGCGAAGGCGACUCACUGGUCCGAUUCUGACGCUGAGGUGCGAAAGCGUGGGGAGCAAACAGGAUUAGAUACCCCGGUAGUCC
rnacentral:rRNA from 1 species